rnacentral:lncRNA from 1 species
UGUCAAAUAAUGGGUUGCUCUCACCAUCAAGAGGAGACCCACACCAACCAACAUUAGGGUGUUGAUGUUUGUCUUAGGAGUCAGGGCCAUCGAAACCUGAACCCAAGGAUAGAUCAUCGAGAUCUGUAUAGAGGAGCGAAUGAUCAUAUCUGAAUCCAAGAUACCCAUCGCUCGUUUUCUAUAGAUGUGAUAGAAAAUAGUGAUGAAGACGAUC